AACGAACGCUGGCGGCAUGCCUAACACAUGCAAGUCGAACGAGACCUUCGGGUCUAGUGGCGCACGGGUGCGUAACGCGUGGGAACCUGCCCUUAGGUUCGGAAUAACUCCCCGAAAGGGGUGCUAAUACCGGAUAAUGUCUUCGGACCAAAGAUUUAUCGCCUUUGGAUGGGCCCGCGUUGGAUUAGCUAGUUGGUAGGGUAAAAGCCUACCAAGGCGACGAUCCAUAGCUGGUCUGAGAGGAUGAUCAGCCACACUGGGACUGAGACACGGCCCAGACUCCUACGGGAGGCAGCAGUGGGGAAUAGUGGACAAUGGGCGGAAGCCUGAUCCAGCAAGGCCGCGUGAGUGAUGAAGGCCUUAGGGUUGUAAAGCUCUUUUACCCGGGAUGAUAAUGACAGUACCGGGAGAAUAAGCCCCGGCUAACUCCGUG
rnacentral:rRNA from 1 species